AAAUUGAAGAGUUUGAUCAUGGCUCAGAUUGAACGCUGGCGGCAGGCCUAACACAUGCAAGUCGAACGGUAACAGGAAGCAGCUUGCUGCUUUGCUGACGAGUGGCGGACGGGUGAGUAAUGUCUGGGAAACUGCCUGAUGGAGGGGGAUAACUACUGGAAACGGUAGCUAAUACCGCAUAAUGUCGCAAGACCAAAGAGGGGGACC
rnacentral:rRNA from 1 species